rnacentral:rRNA from 1 species
UACGUAGGGUGCAAGCGUUGUCCGGAAUUAUUGGGCGUAAAGAGCUCGUAGGCGGUUUGUCGCGUCUGCUGUGAAAACUGGGGGCUCAACCCCCAGCCUGCAGUGGGUACGGGCAGACUAGAGUGCGGUAGGGGAGAUUGGAAUUCCUGGUGUAGCGGUGGAAUGCGCAGAUAUCAGGAGGAACACCGAUGGCGAAGGCAGAUCUCUGGGCCGUAACUGACGCUGAGGAGCGAAAGCAUGGGGGGCGAACAGG